GACGAACGCUGGCGGCAUGCUUAACACAUGCAAGUCGAACGGAAAGGCCCUGCUUUGGUGGGGUGCUCGAGUGGCGAACGGGUGAGUAACCCGUGAGUAACCUGCCAUUCACUUUGGGAUAACUUCAGGAAACUGGGGCUCAUACCGGAUAGGAUUUCCCGCUGCAUGGUGGGGGUUGGAAAGUUUCGGCGGUUGGGGAUGGACUAGCGGCUUAUCAGCUUGUUUGUGGGGUAGUGGCUGACCAAGGCUUUGACGGGUAGCCGGGCUGAGAGGAGGAGCGGCCAAGCUGGGCUUGAGAUACGGCCCAGACUCGUACCGUAGGCAGCGGUGGGGAAGAGUAUACAAGGGACGGAGGGCUGACGCGGCAACGCCGCGUGGGGGAAGAGGGCCUUGGGGUUGUAAUCCGCAGUUGCUUGUGACGAGGCGUGAGUGACGGUAAUGGGUAAAUAAGCACCGGCUAACUACGUG
rnacentral:rRNA from 1 species